ACUCGGGAAGAAAUCAUCUUCAUGGAUGCGAUUAUUAACAUUACUGUAGUAUGAAGCAGAGCAGGACCGAGUGUUGUGGGAGCUGAGCGAGGCAGCUGGAGCGACUGUGCAAUACACGCCUCACGAGCAGCAGAACUUUUAUUAUGACACAGUCGCCGGCGCUGCUUCCUCUUUUCCGGUCAUGAGUAUGAGGCAUAACAAAUGGCUACAUCUUGGGGGUAGAAUCUUGCACAACAUCAACAACUAGCAACAGCUGCUAACUGGACCAUGCUAGCCAACCAAAUUUUGGUGUUAAUCACUGCACAAUGGCUCUAACAUUCAGAAAUCCACAGAGGAGCAGUUUGAAAGCCACAGAAGACUGCUAACGAUCCAAAGAUAUCUGGGAGUUGAAAAUAUACAACAGACAACAUUCUUUGGGAAAUGGAAGGCUGGGAAAGCAGUGGAGGUGGCAGGGUCACGCCUGAGACAAAAGGCACUAGUGGGCACUGUGGCGACAGGCAGAGCGGGCUUGUGCUACUUUCCAAAGACUCUGGUUAGCCAGGCCCGUGGCAAGGAAAGACACCAUCUACUCCAGGGAGAUGUCUGAGCAGGCGUGGAGGAAGAGCGAGUGAGCAGGGCGGCGGGACUCCGGCAGCAGGGAGCGUCGACUAAGUUGGAGAGUACACUGCAGUGCAGGAUCACCUGGGCAAACAUCUUGCAGGCAGAUUUCCAUCGGGUCCAUUUCCUGGUACAAGCUGCCUACGAUGCCCUGCCAAGCACAGCGAACAUCCAUGUCUGGGGGAAGAGUGAGACACCUUCCUGCCUUCUUUGCUCUGGAAGAGGCUCUUUAGAACAUCUCCUCAGCAGAUGUCCAAAGGCUCUGGCUGAUGGGCGCUAUCGUUGGCGCCAUGACCAGGUGCUUAAUGCAAUUGCUGAGAGCUAGCCUCAGCCAUCAGCACCAGCAAGAACCAUCAUGCUCCAAAGAAGGCAGUCCCUUUCAUUAAAGCUGGAGAGAAACCCCGGGCGCACCCACAAUUAACAACAGGCCUCCUCCACAAUGCCUCGAACUGGCAGCUGCAGGUCGACCUGGGAAAACAGCUGAGGUUCCCUCAGCAUAUUGCAACAACAAGUCUCCGCCCAGACAUGAUAGUUACCUCAGAGGUUUCAAAACAGCUGAUCAUGCUGGAACUUACGGUGCCCUGGUAAGAGCAUAUUGAGGAAGCUAAUGAGAGGAAAUGCGCUAAGUACCAGGAACUGGUGGAGGAGUGCAGAGAGAGAGGCUGGAGAACCUCCUGUUAGCCCAUAGAAGUCAGCUGUAGAGGCUUUGCAGGAUGAUCAUUUUGCAAAGACCUCAGUCGUUUGGGUGUUACAGGGGCGGCCAAGAAGAGGGCUGUUCAAUCCGCGAGCGAAGUCGCAGAGAAGGCCACAAGGUGGCUUUGGAUUAAGAGGGCGGAUCUGUGGACUGCUACUGGGACCCAAGUUGGGGCUUGAUCAACCCCGGCUGGGUCGCCUGGGCGAGGGUGUAUGAUGUUUCGAGACCCGAAACACCCAAUGAUCCCAGGAUACAUCACUGAGGAUGCGUCCCAGUGCAUCCAUGAGAUGUUUCUUGCAUAUAUUUUAACAUCAUUAUUACUUUUCUGACCUCGAGAACCAUUGCAGGGCUCCAGACUAACAUUUGAGGGCUGUAGCACCAGUGCCGUUAAGUUCUACGGUGGCACCAGCCCCUGAUUUGGCAGCACUGUGAGGGCUGACAGAAAAGCACUGAGCUUGAGUUGAGAUGCAGAUAAUAUUAACUUUUAUUUUAUUAUUAUAUUUAAUAAAUAUUAAAAAUAUUAGGGUGUGGAAAUGGCUAAUAAGCCAAUAAGUACUCCUCUGCAGCAUCUACUACCGGUAAUUUAUUGUCUUUUUUAUUUCUGAAUAAGUGUUUGCUUUUCUACAUCAUGAAACUUUUAGUUUUAUAAAUGGGGACAAACUAUGAAGGAUGAACAAAUAAUGUUUUGGACAUCAUAUUAAAUAACAUAUGGGCAAUAUAUAAAACUUUGAAGUGCUGGGAAAAGUUGUGUGAAGCACUUAAAAGCACUAGAAAACAUUACUGCCACAAGUUAUAUCUGUUAAACCACAGAUAUCAGAUUAAACAGUUUCCACGUCGGGGCUGUUUGAUAUGACCUGUGGUUUAACAGAGAAUUCUGCAACGAAUGUAAAUGCUUCUCACAAGAGUUUACAGCGAUGUUAUUAAUUCUGUGAAUUCAAGCGGUUUCUUCCCAGCGCUGUGCAAUAAUGGUGUCGUGCGAUCGAGAUCGACCCGCUGCUCUGAACUCCUGUCGUAACGCGAUGUCUAUUAUAGAUCCUUUUCACAGAUUGUGAUGUUGCGUCAUCAGUAUCGUAAAUCAUGCAAAGUUUUUGAUAUUUUAAUUUUUAAAAAAACGUAUGUACAUUUAUAAAACUAUACUUACUGUAUAUUACCUUUGCAUCAAAUUACAAAAAACUAGCUAAUGCUGCUGUGAGGGUGUUUCUAAUACA